UACGUAGGGGGCAAGCGUUGUCCGGAAUUAUUGGGCGUAAAGAGCGUGUAGGCGGCCAGAUAAGUCCGCUGUGAAAUCUCGAGGCUCAACUUCGAGCUGUCGGUGGAAACUAUCUGGCUAGAGUCCGGAAGAGGAGAAUGGAAUUCCUGGUGUAGCGGUGAAAAUGCGCAGAUAUCAGGAAGAACACCCCGUGGCGAAGGCGGUUCUCUGGGACGGUACUGACGCUGAGACGCGAAAGCGUGGGGGGAGCGAAACAGG
rnacentral:rRNA from 1 species